AUUGUCUUGAGGCACAUACUGUUUUCUUCUGGAUGAACUCUUCUUUAAAUCAUUCCUCUUUUUCUUCCUUUUCCCAUGAGGAAGUAGUUUAUCAAAUAUCUUCAUUUUUCUAUUAUCAACUGCCUUUGGUAGUUAACUGUUGUUAAGAAAUCAUCACUAAGAAAGCAGAUUGUAUUGGUAUCACAAAGGAAGAAGUCUAUCAUCAGAAAAUAAUCUUAGGACAACUUACUUGGGACAAUUUUAAGUGGAAGAGUAUCGAGCACAAGACACACUGAACGCUAAUACGGAAAAGAGUGAUGAGAAAUGAAGAGAUACCGAUUUGAAAUGUGGGCGGCUUCGUAACACGGCUUAUCAUAGCGGGUGUUGCUGAUACUGGAUGAGCCGAUGGAAUCUCUGUAAUUCUACGUUGCCUUUGGACGAACGAUCGAUCUGUCGACGAAAUGAAGCCCCAGAAUCACAUACUGGCUUCAUAUUCUUCGAAUUACGUAUACGAACGUUUCUUCACCUUCCACGUUUCAAUUUUACUGUAUAUCAAAUAUGAAAAGAAUUCUUCAACUAGUCUUAAAGGGUUGAAAGUAAUGUAGAAUUUUUUUAAAAAUUCUGAAGGCUCUAUAACUAUUCAAAUUGAUGUAACUAGGCAGAUUGGUCUUCUAUAAGUAAUAAGUUUUCUUGUUAUUAAUAGAAAGAUUGUAGUCAAAUGAAAUUGUGUCUAUGUUGCAAGCUAGUAGCUUUAGAAUUAAGAAAAUAAAAUAUUAAAUUGUGGAAAUUCAGUUUUUGUACAUGAAAACUUAAGGUUUAUUGCUUAUUAGGCACUCAAAAUUUAUUAAACAAACAAAUAAUAUUUGUCAAUGAUACAAAUUCUAAUAAUACAAUUCAAUGAAUGUAAAAAAUAUACAGUAAUAACAUGCAAAACAAAUCUCCUCAAAUCUGGGGACCGCUAUCUGAUAAUUAUGAAAAACAACGAGAAGUAAGAAAUAUUUUUAAGUUAUAACAAUUUUAAUUAAACCAAAUAACUUAAACGAUUUAUAUCUUUGUCUUCUCGUUGAUCAUCACAAUAUUUGUUAAAUUAUAGGAUAGGGGUAAAAUGAUAUUUAAGCUUCGUUCAGGAAUUAUCUUAUUUUUUGCCUUAAGCGUAAACGCAGUUUCAUUUUGGUUCAAGAACGUGGCGAUUUAACCCACAGUCAAAGAGUAAGCCUCUUUGCCACAGUUACAGAGCGAAUGAAUCGAAGCUAUUAUAUUAUUAAUUUUUGACUAUCAUUCGAUCGUUCGACUCGAAUAGAAAUAAUUACUUACAUACAUCUUCAUCUAGUUAAUUACAUGAUUAUACUUCUGUCUAAACACUCAGAUCUUUACUGCUUCAAAUACAAAUACAACUACGAUAUAUACCAGAUGUCUCAGAAGCUUCUUUUUAUAAUUAUAAUUAAAAAAAGUAAGAAUUCAGAUUAAUGGUACAUCGAAUAAAAAUAAGGGAAAAAAGUACAAUGAACUUUGUUUUGUUAUAAUAAGACACCUGGUAUAAUCACAACGAUACAACAACUAUUUAAUUAUCAAUAUCAUUUUUAAUAAAUAUGUACUUUUUUCUCGCAGCAAGAACAGUGUUCACGUUGUGAAGUAGUAAAUAAUUGUCUUUAGAAAAAGUAAAGUAUAGGUAAAAAUUUAGUAUCAAGAUAUUUUUUGGAAGAGAUUGUCCAAAACAAUAACAACACUAUAUCAUAUAUUUCAUGAUACAAUAUUCGAAUAAAAAUAAGAUUUCUAAGAAAAUCAUGAAAUAGAAAAAUAAGUACAACAUUUCUGUCAUAGUGUUGUCAUUAUGGACAUUAUGAAUCACCAAUUAUUAAAGAAAAUAUUAACAACGUUCUGGAAGAAAGUAUCAUAGAAACAAAUGUUUUAUUUGUUGCUUCAAGUCUCUAAUUAAAUUGGCCACCACAACGAGGCAGUAUACUUAGCUCGAGACAAAGAAUAUUCAUGCAAUUAAUCGCAAAAUUUGUCUUCAACAUCGCUCCAAUAUUAUUCAAUUGGUCGUGAAUAUUUCAAAUACAAAAACUCAAUAGUUUAAGUACAAUAAAAAGGGAUUGUACAAAUUAUUUAUCACCAUCUAUUGUUAUAUUAAUUAAGAAGUACACAUUCGGUAUGGAAUUAUCUGUAUAACUAAAUGGUAUUCAAUACUGGAGCAAUACAAAAUUAAUAUUGUAAAAGAAGAACAGAAUUAAACUUCAUAAAUACUCGUUCAACCAUAUUAUCAAGUAUACUGAGAAACUGGGUGAAAAAGAAUAUGGUACAAUACUUUAUAUUCUUAUAUACAUAUAUGAAAUAAUAUUUAGAAAGGAAAGGAUAUAAAACAAAGUUUUAAAUAUACUAUUUACCGAGUGUAUCUUCUUUGAUUCGUCCCUUGUAAUAUUUAAUUAAAUUUACCAAUUGUACAUUCAUAAAAUUGCUUGAACCAUUGCUUUCCCAAUUUCUCAAUUAUAUCCUUAUUCAUACUUGUAUAAUGAAAUCGCUUACAACGUAAUUUAACAUUAAUGAAAUUUAACAGAUCAACUUUGACUUUUAAUAUGUUUUUUUUUU